CUGCUUUCCACCAAAUGGAACUUAGGAAAGCUCCAAAAAAUCCUGACUCAACCAUUUUCAAAAGGAGCAGGUCCCACCCACACCCCUGAGAAGCUACUGAUUCCUUCUAAAUACCUCUGACUGAGUUGAGUGAAAGCAUCAAUAUCCACGAAGCACUAUGCUAGAAAUGAGGACAGCAAAGUCAUGAACAGAGAUACAGUGUAAGGCUCCACUGACAUGGGCAUGCAGACCGUUUUGCUUUCCAAAGAAAACUGAAGACCAGCGCCUCUCCGGAAAUCCUUCAGACUUUCAGUAGCAGCUUGGGACUGCUGAGGCAUCCAGGUUUGUGACGCAUCCAAAAAAGGUUCAGCUUUUAGACGCACAAUUACCAUAUUGCAAAAACUGGGGACAACAUCUGGGAUGAGGAAGAAAGCAACAGUGAACGGAAAUAGAAGUUCCUUUUUUUUCCAUGCUGGAAGUUGGUAAAAGGAAAAUACAGAAUUUACACCCGUGUGUGCAAA
rnacentral:sRNA from 1 species